AGAACGAACGCUGGCGGCAGGCCUAACACAUGCAAGUCGAACGCUCCAGCAAUGGAGAGUGGCAGACGGGUGAGUAACACGUGGGAACCUUCCCUAUGGUUCGGAAUAGCUCAGGGAAACUUGGGGUAAUACCGGAUAAGCCCUUCGGGGGAAAGAUUUAUCGCCAUUGGAUGGGCCCGCGUCGGAUUAGCUAGUUGGUGAGGUAACGGCUCACCAAGGUAC
rnacentral:rRNA from 1 species